UACAGAGGUGGCAAGCGUUGUUCGGAAUUACUGGGCGUAAAGGGCGCGUAGGCGGUUUUGUAAGUCAGACGUGAAAUCCCCAGGCUCAACUUGGGAACUGCGUCUGAUACUGGUUGGCUUGAAUUCGGGAGAGGGAUGCAGAAUUCCAGGUGUAGCGGUGAAAUGCGUAGAUAUCUGGAGGAAUACCGGUGGCGAAGGCGGCAUCCUGGACCGAGAUUGACACUGAUGAGCGAAAGCCAGGGGAGCAAACGGG
rnacentral:rRNA from 1 species